CCCCUGUCAGGGUUGCAUCUGGAGAGUUUCCAGUACUCUACCAGUCUCGAUUAUGGGAGGGAGAGUCAAGCAGAGGCAUAUCCAUUUUAUUCCUAGUUGGGCAGUGGUUAGUGAGUGGAAGGCAAUCUGCUACAAGU